CCUUCGAUAGCUCAAUCUGGAAGAGCGUGGGACUGUAACGGCUACGUGAUGAUCCCAAGGUCGUUGGUUCGAUCCCGACUCGAAGGA
rfam:Hypholoma sublateritium FD-334 SS-4 unplaced genomic scaffold scaffold_1, whole genome shotgun sequence.